CUUUAAAAAUUUCAUCCAUUUGUAUUGUUAAAAAUUAGUAUGACAUAGUUGACAAAAUAAUCAAACAAUGAUAUAUGGCGUGUCAUGUGUAUUUCAUGCUGGCAUACAUAAACUAAUUUUUAACGGUAGAAAUGGCUUGAAUUUUUAAUA
rfam:Gossypium arboreum cultivar AKA8401 contig_5270_1, whole genome shotgun sequence.